GACGAAGGGGGCGAGCGUUGUUCGGAAUCACUGGGCGUAAAGGGCGCGUAGGCGGCGCAGUCAGUCAGGCGUGAAAGCCCCGAGCUCAACUUGGGAAAUGCGCUUGAUACUAUUGUGCUAGAGAGCGGGAGAGGAUGGUGGAAUUCCCAGUGUAGAGGUGAAAUUCGUAGAUAUUGGGAAGAACACCGGUGGCGAAGGCGGCCAUCUGGACCGUUUCUGACGCUGAGACGCGAAAGCGUGGGGAGCGAACAGG
rnacentral:rRNA from 1 species